rnacentral:snRNA from 1 species
CAAGUACUCCUGUUCUUUUUGUGUAUAUUAAAUGGAUUUUUGAAACAGGGAGCUGGAAUAGGAGCUUACGCCAUCCACUCCAUGCAUCAACCUGGUAUUGCAGUGCUUCCAGGAAUGGUGC